UGUUCGGGUUGUCAUGCCAAUGGCACUGCCCGGUAGCUAAAUGCGGAAGAGAUAAGUGCUGAAAGCAUCUAAGCACGAAACUUGCCCCGAGAUGAGUUCUCCCUGAGACUUAGAGUCUCCUGAAGGAACGUUGAAGACGACGACGUUGAUAGGCCGGGUGUGUAAGCGCAGCGAUGCGUUGAGCUAACCGGUACUAAUGAACCGUGAGGCUUAACCUUACAACGCCGAAG
rnacentral:rRNA from 2 species